rnacentral:lncRNA from 8 species
ACUGAUCUGGGACCAGACCAGUCCUCUUCAGGAUUCUGAGGUCUCCUCUCUGAGAGUUAUAAUGAGUUAUCAUCAGGGGCUGAGGGUGAAGCCAUCCCUAAAAAAAGACGUAAAGUUGAGUCACCAAACAAGGAUCUUGAUGAGACCAUGGACCCUGAUAUGAGGAACAAUUUGAAGCAUCUCCAGCUACGUACAGCUAGUCAUAUGUCUAUGAGUGACCAGAGUGACCAGUCAGUGACUUCAAGCAGAGACCCAAGUGGUGAUGAAGACCAAAUCAUGGAUGAAAGGGUCCAUCUGCAGAGACCAGUGUCACCAGCCCCCAGUUAUAUAUCGAUGAAGAGUGACAAAUCAAUGGCUAACCCGCCUGAAUUUAAGGAGGGCGACUUAACGCAAAAAGAGGAAGUCCUUCUGGAGAGAGCAGAGUCCCCGACUCUGAGUAAUGCAUCAGCAAACAGUCACCAGUCAAUGGAUAUGGAUGAGGAAGACAAGGAGGAGAACUCAGCUCCAAAAGAGAAGAACAAUUUGAAGCAUCUCCAGCUACGUACAGCUAGUCAUAGUGACCAGAGUUACCAGUCAGUGAAUUCAAGCAUAGACCCAAGUGAUGAUGGAGACCAAACCAAGGAUGAAAGGUAA